rnacentral:ncRNA from 1 species
CGGACGAAACAGGGGUGUCCCGCAGGCAAGCAGCCUGUGCGGACUGAGAAACACCCUGGGGCUGCGCCAGCCACGGGCUGCGCACCAGAGCACCAUCCGUGCCCUGUGCCCCCUGCACCCGAUCCAGGUCAUGCUGGCGUGGGGAGUUUCACAAGCCGCAAG